rnacentral:rRNA from 1 species
AGCGAACGCUGGCGGCAGGCCUAACACAUGCAAGUCGAACGAACUCUUCGGAGUUAGUUGCGGACGGGUGAGUAACACGUGGGAACGUGCCUUUUGGUUCGGAAUAACUCAGGGAAACUUGUGCUAAUACCGAAUGUGCCCUUCGGGGGAAAGAUUUAUCGCCAUUAGAGCGGCCCGCGUCUGAUUAGCUAGUUGGUGAGGUAACGGCUCACCAAGGCGACGAUCAGUAGCUGGUCUGAGAGGAUGACCAGCCACACUGGGACUGAGACACGGCCCAGACUCCUACGGGAGGCAGCAGUGGGGAAUCUUGCGCAAUGGGCGAAAGCCUGACGCAGCCAUGCCGCGUGAAUGAUGAAGGUCUUAGGAUUGUAAAAUUCUUUCACCGGGGACGAUAAUGACGGUACCCGGAGAAGAAGCCCCGGCUAACUUCGUG